rnacentral:rRNA from 1 species
UGGGGAAUAUUGCACAAUGGGCGCAAGCCUGAUGCAGCGACGCCGCGUGAGGGAUGACGGCCUUCGGGUUGUAAACCUCUUUCAAUAGGGACGAAGCGCAAGUGACGGUACCUAUAGAAGAAGGACCGGCCAACUACGUGCCAGCAGCCGCGGUAAUACGUAGGGUCCGAGCGUUGUCCGGAAUUACUGGGCGUAAAGAGCUCGUAGGUGGUUUGUCGCGUUGUUCGUGAAAACUCACAGCUUAACUGUGGGCGUGCGGGCGAUACGGGCAGACUAGAGUACUGCAGGGGAGACUGGAAUUCCUGGUGUAGCGGCGGAAUGCGCAGAUAUCAGGAGGAACACCGGUGGCGAAGGCGGGUCUCUGGGCAGUAACUGACGCUGAGGAGCGAAAGCGUGGGGAGCGAACA